AAUAUUGGACCAUGGGGGCAACCCUGAUCCAGCCAUGCCGCGUGUGUGAAGAAGGNCUNNGGAUUNUNAAGCCCUGUAAGUUGNNNNNAAGGGCUUUAGGUUAAUACCCUGAAGUUUUGACGUUACCAACAGAAUAAGCACCGGCAACCUUUGUGCCAGCAGCCGCGGUAAUACAGAGGGUACAAGCGUUAAUCGGAAUUACUGGGGGUAAGGCGCGCGUAGGUGGUUCAGUAAGAUGGGUGUGAAAUCCCCGGGCUUAACCUGGGAACUGCUUUCAUAACUGCUGCGCUAGAGUACGGUAGAGGGUAGUGGAAUUUCCUGUGUAGCGGUGAAAUGCGUAGAUAUAGGAAGGAACACCAGUGGCGAAGGCGACUACCUGGACUGAUACUGACACUGAGGUGCGAAAGCGUGGGGAGCAAAC
rnacentral:rRNA from 1 species